GAUGCCCAGUUAAAUUCGAAUUCCAGGUAAACUGCAAAUGAUUUUUAGUAUAAAUAUGCCUCAUGUUUAUUUGGGACAUACUUAUGCCAAAAGAAACAUUGUAGUUUGCUUGAAAUAUAAAUUUAACAGUU
rnacentral:miRNA from 1 species